rnacentral:tRNA from 1 species
CCCUGGUACACAACUAGUGCACAUCAAUGAGCUUGCAACUCACUAUGAACUUCACUACAGAGCCGAU